UACGAAGGGGGCUAGCGUUGCUCGGAAUUACUGGGCGUAAAGCGCACGUAGGCGGGCUUUUAAGUCGGAGGUGAAAUCCUGGAGCUUAACUCCAGAACUGCCUUCGAAACUGAAAGUCUUGAGUUCGGGAGAGGUGAGUGGAACUGCGAGUGUAGAGGUGAAAUUCGUAGAUAUUCGGAGGAACACCAGUGGCGAAGGCGGCUCACUGGCUCGAUACUGACGCUGAGGUGCGAAAGCGUGGGGAGCAAACAGG
rnacentral:rRNA from 1 species